UACAGAGGUCCCAAGCGUUGUUCGGAUUCACUGGGCGUAAAGGGUGCGUAGGUGGUCGGGUAAGUCUGAUGUGAAAUCUUCGAGCUCAACUCGAAAAUGGCAUUGGAUACUAUUCGGCUGGAGGGUUGGAAGGGGGACUGAAAUUCUCGGUGUAGCAGUGAAAUGCGUAGAUAUCGAGAGGAACACCUGCGGCGAAGGCGGGUUGCUGGGCUGACACUGACGCUGAGGCGCGAAAGCCAGGGGAGCGAACGGG
rnacentral:rRNA from 1 species